UUUCCAGUCUAAAAAACUUGAGUUAAAAAAGAUUGAAGCUUUGGCUUCUUAACAGCCGAGAAUUCAUGGCCACACCAUUGGCUUUCAGAUCAAUGAGAAGGGGUUUUGCAUCUUCUGCUCUUAAAUGGGAAUGUGGAGUCUCAGUGGUUCAAGGAACUUCUAGAUGAAUUGGCCUUGAAUUUGUUAAACAACUUCUGGAAAAGAAUGACAAAGGGCAUGUUAUUGCUACUUGCUGAAAUCCUAGUGGGGCAACGGGAAUUACUGAUUUGAAAAAUAAGUUUGCUGAGCGCCUUAAGGUUUUUUUUUUUGGUGUGGCUGUUUGUGGGUUAAGAUCAACAAUUUAUGAAUGCUGGAAUAUCAAGCGUAUUGAAUACCAAAAUUAGUCAUGUUUUCAUAGUUUUUUCUUCCAAUAUCCUGAAAAAUUGUAGAGGAUGUCUCCCUAGGAAGGGACAUUGUGAGCAUGAAGCAAAAUGCAGGAAGAAUACCUUUUACCUUUUCCUUAAUAAGAGGAAAGAAGCCUUCAUUUUAAAUCGAUCCUUGGAUAAAUGGAAAGCUAUAGCACAAAAAGAAAAGAAAAAUCACAAGCAUUUCCUAUGCUGUUUAUAACUAGUAAUAGUAGUUAUUAGUAUUGAAGAAAUAAUUAUUGCAGACACAGAAAUUUCUUAGUAGUGUUAGCCCUGAAGAGAUGUGUUCAAAUAUAAUGUUAGUAUUACUAGGCAAAGAUAAAGUUGUUGCAAUAGGGGUUUCUUUAUUGCCCCUUUUGUUUCUUCUUGGAGGUAAUGAUUCACAACAUAGCAUAAUAUCACUGUUUGCCAUUUGCAGCACAUGUGGCCUCUUCUGAUGGCUGGAGGAGACUUGAAAGGGAUGUUGCGUGGUUGCCAAUUUAAGUGCCAGGGUUGGCUCAAAUGAAGAUAAUCAUCUAGGGGGCUGGCAUUCAUAUCGAUCUUCAAAGUCUGCUUUAAAUCAGCAUAUGAUUUCCUCCCCAAAGUUCCCUUGGCAUGAUUUUCUUGAUUCAUGGCUUCAUUUUUUAUCAAAUUUAACUGUUUGCUGACCAUUUCCACCAGCAAUGAAAUGUUACAUUACCGCAAGGUGUGUCCUUUCAGAUCCGAGCAUAUUUUAUGUGGAUGUGAUAACUUGGCUUGAGCUCCCAACUGUUUGCUAGUAUUGCUAUUGGGUAUGACAAGAAGAAUCAUGAUCACUUUAGUGACUGACAUCUAUGUUGGCUUAUGUUUAUUUUCACCUUGGCAAGGAAUAUUCUAUAUGUCAACUCUCAACACUCUUUUGAGUGCAACUUGGCAAGGAAUCUGCCAUGGGUACCAUUGCCUAAAAUGUGAGACUACUCAUGCAUAUGGGGUACCUCAUUUUCUUUGUUUUGACCAUCCAAUGCACAUGCUACAGAUUGGCGAUGCACAGCACAAGCUCGGUGUCCUGAAGUUUUCUGGCCAAGUCCUUGUGAGGCAGGAAAAAUCAAUGAAGAAAUAAUUACUUUGUGAAACAAAUUUCUGUGGUCUUUGAAUAAGAUUCUAAAAGAUUCCCUGCAUGGCA